GAUGAACGCUAGCGGGAGGCUUAAUACAUGCAAGUCGAGCGGUAACUGACCGAUAGCAAUAUUGGUUAGCUAGAGCGGCGCACGGGUGAGUAACGCGUACAUAACCUACCCUAUACUGGGGGAUAGCCUUGGGAAACUGAGAUUAAUACCCCAUGGUAUUAUUUGGCCACCUGGUUGAAUAAUUAAAGUUGCGGCGGUAUAGGAUGGGUGUGCGUCUGAUUAGCUAGUUGGUAGGGUAACGGCCUACCAAGGCAACGACGCGUAGCCGGACUGAGAGGUUGACCGGCCACAUUGGGACUGAGACACUGCCCAGACUCCUACGGGGGGCUGCAGUAACGAAUAUUGGGCAAUGGGCGCAAGCCUGACCCAGCGACGCCGCGUGGAGGAUGAAGUCCUGGAGUGUAACUACCUCGUCAGGGGUUAGGUAAAGUUACUUGAUCAACCCCACGAGGAAGGCGACGGCGUAACUCUGUGCCAGCAGCCGCGGU
rnacentral:rRNA from 1 species